rnacentral:misc_RNA from 1 species
CCGAGUUUACAACUCCCAAACCCCUGUGAACAUACCACUUGUUGCCUCGGCGGAUCAGCCCGCCUCCCGGUAAAAACGGGACGGCCCGCCAGAGGACCCCUAAACUCUGUUUCUAUAUGUAACUUCUGAGUAAAACCAUAAAUAAAUCA